GCUACCAGGUACCGUGAGCAAUCACUGGAGCUGGAACACUGCUGCCUGAGGAAGAGAAGAAGUGCAGGCUUGUCAUUGUCUAUGCUGUUACUUGUGGUUCCCGGGUCUUCAGAGAGGAUGCACAAGAACGGGAGAACCGGCCCCUGGGAUUUGCUGCUCAGGACCCGAGUUCACUGAGACAUCAGGAGCAAGCACUGGAGGCCGGUGCCGCUGGAUCCAGAUGGGAGCCAUGCAGGACUUGACCAUGGCCUGCACACACUUCUUCCCAGGAGAAGGGGAAUGAGGAAGGCAGACUGGCAUCACCCGACCCUUCAGAGUAUUAAUGCAGACCUUCGUGACAGAGGUCCAGUACCAAGUGCGCAGCUGUGCUGAGGUCCAGGGACAGAAAGCAGAUGGGCAGAUUCAACCCCCCUCAGCUGGCCAUGCUAAUCUACUAGCUGGUGUCCUAGGGCAGCAGGGUGCCUCCCUCUCCAGGUUCUGAUGAGAAAACACUGCAGUCCCAGUUUCUUUCGGGGCUUGAAGAGAAGUCAAGGAAGCCCUGCAAGGCACUCACAGCUGAUCAUGCUGUCUGUAAUUGGCUGCCAUCUUCUGCCAUUGCUAGGAAUCAUGGGAAGGAGGACAUGUGGUGCUGUGACUUCUGAAACUAUUUUCCUCAUGAUGGCAGUUGUGCUCCACAAAAGAUCUUUUGAUUGUUUCCCCCCCCUCCCCGCUUCCUGUGUGAAAAAUUAUCAAGGAGAAUAUAGGUACCAAGGAAGAUUGGUUCGGUGAACUUUGCCUGUCCUCGAAUCGGUUCAGGGAUGGUUUGUUUUGUUNUUUGUUUUUGUUUUUUUGUUUUCUUGUUUUCCUUCUGAAGUCAUUCUGAGUCCUCAUUCUACCCUAGGUUGUAGGCCAUUUCCUUUUCUACAGCUGUUCAUACUCACCCUUUUUAGCUACUUAAUUUUGCUCUUGAUUGUCUAGUCUUAUUCAUUGGUUACAAUUUUCACACAGGAAAGGUAGUCUAGGAGCUUCGAAAGGAAAGCUUUUUUCAUGCAGGGUGAUUGGUAUUGCUGAGGGCUAACAACCCUUGCCUACCGUAUCCUAGAGCCUGGGUUUGCUCCCCAGGACUGAAAUGGGCACUGUUACC
rnacentral:sRNA from 1 species